AAGCAUUGAUUCAUUUGUCUUUGGAAACUGAAUGUAUUUCUUGUUGAUUUAAAAAUAUCAACAGUUUUUAAUAUUUAAAUCUAUAAAUAAGUUUAUACUUCAUAAUUUGACUUCCUGUUGUACCUGUAAUUAGGUAUACACACAUUCAGUUUACCUUUAAAUCUAUUGUAGGUAAGGUGAAUACCACACAACAAUGCUGUCAGAUGUUUGCUAAUUUGAUUUGCUUAUGUCAUUAAAACCUAUUGAACUUUUGACAUCAAGCUAUUUUCUUUGUUUAUGUUUGUUUUUAUUUCUUGACAUUAUCCCAAUUAGGUAUCUUAACAUUUUAUUGUUGAUCAGAAAACAAUUAUACUUAAAACUUGGCAAAGAAUAUUUUAUUAAAAUUUCAAAGUUAAUAAAAGAAAUGCAAGCUGUUAUAGUAGCAUUAGCUAAAGUUAAGAUCACGGGUCAAAUUCGUCAUAUUUGAUUUAUAAUGUACUAAAAUGUAUAUCCAAAUUAUAAAAGUCUUAAAUAUAAUCAAUUAACAAGGCAUUUUAUCAAUAAAAUGUUUAAGCAUUUCAUGUGUAUUUUAGUCUAAAGACGCCAUCUAAUUAACCAUCAAGCUGACCUCCAAAGAUUGCAUAUUUAAAUUGCAAUGAUAAAUAUGGAUAUAUGGUAGAUAGAUUUAGAGCACAGUCUAUUGGAUUUAAUUACAAAACUUCAAUGAUAUUUAACCUAGUCUUAUCCAACUAACACGCAGUCUUCUUGCUUAACCAACGACCCUCCAGGCCAGGCUUUUACAAUUUCUUUCUGGUCUUUUAUAAACUUUUCUACAAGCCAACAUGAUCCAACUUGAAUUUUAGUAAAAUUGAGCUUGGUACCUGUGGAUUCAAAAGUUUAAUUAUCAUGAAGACUGAACAUGUUAUUUAUCGUAAACUGGUAGUUCUAGGUGAGAUUGGGAUAUCUAUUUGAAAUAUGAUAGGAGUCAAAUUGUGAUGGUUUUCUGGCUUAAAUGUUUUGCAAUUUUCUUUGUUAAAGUUCAAUAUAUAGUGCUAUACUUAUACUACUACUAGUUAGUUUUGUUGAUUUUUUAGAGUAUAUCAAACGCAAAUUUUAUCUAAGAAAAAAUGUACUUUUUGUUGACAUAUAUUAGAAAGUAAUUACUGUAGAAACAAUAAUU
rnacentral:lncRNA from 1 species